GGACCCAAGGAACUACAGGCCUGUCGGUCUGACUUUGGUGCCAGGGAAGGUUAUGGAGCAUAGUGACAUCUUCUUAAGUGCCACCAUGCAACAUAUACAGGACACCCAGGUGAUCAGGCCCACUUAGCAUGGGUUUAUGAAAGGUUGUGAUGGCAUCCUUGAGAGUGAAAUCCAGACUUCUGCAGUGCUAGACUGUUUGGAAGUUCAGGAUUUGAGAAGUGUGUCUGAGCCUCAAAAUCCAGGAAGGAAAGAAGCUGCUGAGAGUGUCUACUGAAGAAAGUCUCGUGCUGCCCAAGGCACAACGCUGAGCAAGUCAUGCAGGCUCCCUCUACUAGUGACUGAGGAGGAAAAGGCACAUUCAUAGAGCAAAGAGAGAACUAAGGAUUUAGGUGAGAUGCCUUCUCUCUGGACAAUACAAACUCUGGAAGUGGACAGUCUUGUCUAGAGUUACCUCCAAUGUGUUGCUUCAACCAAAGACCAAGGGUGAGGGGUCUGGAGGACUGCCAUUGCUAUCCUGGCA